GGCUGUGCAAUCCCCCCGCCCGCGCCAGUCCUUGCGAGCUGACUCCAGGCGAGGAGCGAGGAACCCGCGACGCCGCGUUUAAAAGCGGGUCUCGGCUUUAUGUCAGAAGCCGCAACCGGAAAUAGAAGCCGCUUGGAGCCCGGUGGCCGUGGAGAGGCGCUCUAGCCCCGAACGCGGCUCCGCGACCGGAACUAGAGAACUCUAUGGUCUCACAGGGACUUCCGCUUCCGCCCCCAGCGGGCUCGGUUGGAGAGGAGUUUUCCGCUGGUGCACAUUAAAGAUCCACAACCAUGACUGACUCCAAGUACUUCACAACCAAUAAAAAAGGAGAAAUCUUUGAAUUAAAGGCUGAACUCAACAAUGAAAAGAAAGAAAAGAGGAAGGAGGCUGUGAAGAAAGUGAUUGCUGCUAUGACUGUGGGGAAAGAUGUUAGGUAAGGGUAGUCUCUUCUGCUUUGCUCAUUUUAGACUCUUACUCUAUGGCUUUUACUGCUUUUUUUUUUUUUUUUUUUU